rnacentral:lncRNA from 1 species
UUUUUUUUUUUCUGUGUAACCAUAUCUUGACUAAAAAUAAAAUUUAUUAAGUGCAUGUAAUAUCAAUCUUACUACAGAAACUAUUAAAUUGAGAAAGUAAAGACUGAUAUUUAUGAUGAGUUAUGAUAAUUGUUUGGAUGGUGGAGCUGGCCAUAGCAAAAAGGCAAAAUAAAAAAGAUAAGGUGGGUUAGCGAAUGUUUUGUUGUAGUCAAUGCAAUAAGUUUUUGGCUAUAACUUGCAAUCAAAUAUAAUGGGCUAGAGGUUGUCUUAAGUUUGUGUCGAACGACCAAUUAUGUCAAAACCUCAAGAAUAGGGGGCAAGUGCACAUAUAUGCAUUCUCAGGGAUGCUAUUUAGAGAAUAACCAGUAUUUAUUUUUGUCUUGAAAUUAUAAACUAAAUAUCUUAAAUUCUGUACAAUUCAGGACAUAUUGUCCUGAAAAUUGAAACUGAAAAAGUGAAAUUCAAGAUGCACUGGCUAGUUCCUAAAUAACAGCCCUUUAAAGUGGCUACUUGGUGUCAUUUCUACCUUAUGAGUUAUGAUCAAUGGAACUAAUUACCAGGCCUAACCCAAAUCAAAAUAGAAACUGGGCGCGGACUGGGCAUGUGUGUCCCAAUAGCAGGCCCAAUAUAUACAGUUGAGAGAAGAAUAGCUAACUCAUAAUUAAUGAAUUAAACAACAAAUCCAGUAUAAUUCCACGAGUGGAGUCUGGGGAAGGUAGUGUGUACACAGACCUUGCCCCUACCUUGUGAAGGUAGAGAGGUUGUUUCCGAUAAACCCUCGGCUAAAGAAACACUAAACAAGAAGCGAGCAACAGUAACGACACAAGAAAAAAAUAAAGACAUUAUGUGUAACAAAGAUCUAAAAAUAAGAAAUACAAGAAUACUACUAACAAUACUGGUAAGAAUGACACAAUAUGGAAUAACAAAGUUCAAGGAAUAAUGAAUUAAAAGAAACAUGUAAAAAAUUAAACUUGUAAACUGAGUUGUACUAUAGAGCAUUAGGAGAAAUUAAAGUCUCCACAUAUGCUAGUGUAACAUAUUCAGAGUUGGGGCCUAUAAACAGAUCAACUUUAACUUCUUCAAGCCCAUCAACUUCAACUUCUUCAAACUUUUGUCUUUUUGAAUCAUAAACCUCAAACACAAACUCAUUAUAUGUAUUCUCCAAAAUCAAUAUAUCUCCAUCCUUAUUAAAAACCAAAGGGCUGGUCCAAGCUAUGUCACACAGGUGAGGUCCAAACUUUGUAAUUGCUAAUAUUUUACUCCAUCAGCUGCUCAUUCCAUUCUUUUCCAUACAAUACCAAACUUGCCAAGUUUGCAUCUCAUUAAUAUGGUUCGUAUAGAUAGCCAAAAUGUUGUCUCCCACAGUAAAUAGAUCUGUCCCAUCUGGAUAUAAUAUUUCUCCAAAAUUUUCAUUUUUCAAACACAUACAUUGAAUAAUACACUUCUUGUGGGCAUGCUCAAACGUGAUCAUAUAAAUAAAUCCGUCAUCUACAACCAUUUCUCGCCUAAAGUCAUUGCACCGAGGUAACUUGCCAAUCAGUUUCCACGAGUUAGUUUUAGUCGAAAAUACUUGAACAUAAUAGCCAUCUGAUAUUGUACUUACAACUCUAACUAUUUUGUAAUCCUGGAAAGAAGAAACAUGGCCUAAACCAUAGUAACUCGUAUGCCAAUUCGCAACAGAGAUUGGACCAGGGAUUAUUCUUGAUCCUCUGAUGGUCGGGUUCCACAAAACAAUUAUGUCAGAAGAGAAGCAUAGAAGAAAUAAACCAUUGCAAGAAUUCACAAAUACAAACUCAUUCGCAAAUACUCCUUCCAAUGUUAGUUCGAGUGCUGGGAGAGGAAGCUCAAGAACAGAGACAACAGAAUCAUGUUGAAGUGGAGCAUCUAUGGAGUAGCAGUCUUGGUAACACGACCUGUACCAGCAAGUAUCAAAGUUUAAGCAGAAGAGAUGAAUUGAGAGUUCAACAAUGGAGGAUCGAAUGUUCUAGAGAGUCGGUGGAGAGAAUUUUCACUCUCAUUUUCAUCUGAUAUGUUUGUACACAAUACAAUGCUUAUAUAGAAGAUGACUACUACUCACUAACUAACAAUUACACAGGUAAGCUCGACAUAAUUAACUAUAUUGUCAACCCACUAACCGUCUAACUAACCAAUCCAAUUGACAGCUAACUGCCAGCUAACUACCUCACACAAGUUGCACGUGUUAUGUGACACUUCCACUCUCAAUACUCCCCCUCAAGCUGGAGGGUGCGAAUACAUUUAGCAUCCCCAACUUGGAUAUUAGAUAUUCAUGUUGUUGCCUUGGUAAUGCCUUGGUCACACAUCUGCCAGCUGAUCCCUUGAGCACACAUGCACAGUCUUAAUUGCUCCUAACUGUAUUUUUUCUCUGAUGAAUUGAUAAUCGAUCUCGAUAUGCUUAGUUCUCUCGUGAUACACAGGAUUGGCCGCUAUCUGCAAAGCUGCCUUGCUAUCACUAAGUUUGUUUACUGGUAGUUCCACUUCUGCUCCCAGCUCCUUGUACAAAUUUAUCAGCCAAACCAGUUCUGAUACAACUGAUGCCAUACUCAUGUACUCUACUUCUGCAGAACUCUUUAACACAGUGUCAUGCUUCUUGGAUUUCCAUGAUAUUAAUGAUUCCCCAUGCUUCACAAUGAAUCUUGUCACUGACCUUCUCGUAUUUGGGCAUGAAGCCCAAUCGGCAUCACAAAGGGCAGUCAACUUAUUUUCUCUUUUGCUCCUCAUCAAUACUCUUAUUCCUAGAUCCCUCUUCACAUAUCUUACUAUCCUCAGUGUUGCUUCCCAGUGUGACUACUUUGGCUCUUGUAGGAACUGACUAAGUGUCUGAACUGAGAAUGCAAUAUCCAACCUGGUUAGAGUCAAGUAUAAUAGCUUUCCUAUGAGUCUUUGGUAUUUUUCUCUAUCUACCAAAGGCUCAUCAUCUUGUAACCCUGUCAAUGCAUCCAACUAACUGUCUAGUAGUGAAUUUCUAAUUACUAUCAAGAGGAGUUCAGCUUGGUUUUCCAGCACUCAGGUCUAUGUCUGAUAUGAGUUCCAGGGCAUAUUUGCUUUGGUUCAUCAAUAUCCCCUUGUGUGAUCUAGAGAAUUCAAUCACCAGAAAGUACCUUAGUUCCCCUAGAUCUUUAAUUUUGAAUGACUGAUGCAACUGCCUUUUAGUAUCUUCAAUCAUUUGCAAGUUGUUGCCUGUAACUAGCAUAUUAUCUACAUAUACUAGAAUGACCACAAUGUUGCUUCCCUGCUUCUUUGUAAACAAUAAGUAGUCCAAACAGCUUUGAGUGAACCCAUGUUGGAUCAAUGCUUCAGUCAGCUUCACAUUCCAUUGUCUACUCGCUUGCUUUAGGCCAUAUAGGGAUUUAACCGGCCUUUACACUCCCCCUGGCUGGUAAAGCCCUCAGGUAGGUCCAUGUAUACUUCACCAUGCAGGUCUCCUUGGAGGAAGGCGUUGUCACGACCCAAACCGUAGGGCCGCGACGAGCACCCGAUGACUACAUCAACCGAGUACCAACGUAUCAUUCUUAUCAUCAUAGGUAAGUGGGUCAGAAGGGGCGUCAUGAGAUAAACAUGAGGGAAUACCCGACAUAGAACGACCAAACCUGAUAUAAAAACUUAUACACGUGACAUACGGGCCUAUAAGGCCAACAUGAUCAUUUAUAAACUCAAAACAUAGGCCGACAACGCCAUACAAGUAUCCGUACACACGACAUCUGUCUACAAACCUCUAAGAAUACAUAAUUGACAUAAAGGUCGGGACAGAGCUCUGGCAUACCAAUCAAUACAUGUCCUAAUCAUACUGACCAAAUAGCAACUCCGGAGCAAAUGGAGCGCACCAACAUCUUCCACUGAGCUGAUAGCCUACUUGAAGGGCUCUCAACAUGUCUAUCGGGACCUGCGGGCAUGAAACGCAGCGUCCCUAGGCAAAGGGACGUCAGUACAAAUAAUGUACCAAGUAUGUAAGGAAUGAAAUCAGUAAAUAAUAGACAUGAGAGAAACAUGGACUAAAAGACUCAACAUGUAAGUCUGAAUAACUCUGUGAAUCAUUAUUAUUUACAAUGUCAUGCAUAUGUGUAUAAAUGGCAUACCAUACUUAGGUAUAUGCGUUCAUAACAUCAUCAAGCCUCUGAGGGCAUCCCAUCAUAUCAUCUCAACCAUUGUGGGCAAAUCAUCAACGUAUACCAGUUGAUCAGGUGGUGGUGCAUAUAUAACGUCGUAACAUUUUCCAAUAUCACAUAUACAUAUAUACGCGUAUAUAACGACAUUUGGUCAUGGGUCAAUGUAAAUGAAUGCAAUGCAUGAGAAUUACGUCAAUAAAAUCUCUCGAAAUGUCAUAAGACCAUUUGAUUAAUAUCGUGAAAUAAACUUUAUCAACUUACGUAAUUUCUGAGACCCAUGAACAGAUGAUAGAAUAAUAAGACACAUGGGGAAUCAAGAAUAUAGACACCCCUAGUAUUUCUAUGAAUAGAAUCGUUUAUGAAAGUUGCGUAUUUUGCUCGUUUCAUUUGUAUCAUGCCAAAAAGAAAGAAGGGAUAGCCUUAACAUACCUUUGCAAUCUUCUCUCCAAUCGUCAACAUGAUCUUCUUACGUCUACAAUGAGUAACCCAACUUCGUCGUCAUCAUAUAAGCAUUGUAACUCUCAUAUUUCAAAAUCAAUAUUCUACAAGAAAACGAACAACACCUCCCCUGUUUUUACUACAUCCCGUAAGUUACUAAAAUUCACCAAACAGCCCAAACAAUAACAAUAUAAUUCAUAAUAAGCUCUCUGAUUACUUAACAACCAUUUUGAGCGGCAAGCUCGAUUUACAAAAAAUAUAAUUUAAUCUAAUUCAUUUUCCAUGAAUCUGCCUACAACUUGUAUAACAUCAUACUUAUGCUUACCAUAUCAUUUUCAUCCCAAAACAUCAUAAGAAUAAUCUUCAAAAAUAGUCCACACGCCUAGCACAUUAACCUUUAUCGUCAUACUCUUGUUUUUCAUGUUAUCUUCUUCAAUCCACUGAAUUAGCACAUAGAUAAGCUUAACAGCAGCAGCCACAAUAUAAUCUCACUAUUUAUAACAAUUUCCAGCCACAACCAACCAUAUAUAUAGCCUCAACACAGCCCACAAAAAAAAAAAGAUAACGAUUUCUUAUGCCAAUGUCAAUUACUAUCUUGAAGAUUUUAACUCAAACAACACAUGAUUAACCUUAAGCACAACCAAGAACAUGAUUUACGUACCUUAGGCAGCAGAUACAACUUGAAAUUUCAGCCAUAACAACACAUAUAUAUAGCCUUAAAACAACCCAGCAAAAGAUAACAACUCUUCUUCCCCUUUCAAGUGUUAUCUUGUAAUCUUCAUCCAAUAACUUAACCAACACAUAGAUAAUAUUAAUCCCAAGAAAUAGGGUGUUAUACAUACCUUAAAGGCCAACUUUCUACUUGUAUCCAUGAACAACCUCCUCCACGCCUCAAUCAUAAUCACUGGGACACAGGUAUAUGGGUUACGCACUUAUAAGAAACUUGAAGUUCAAUUGCCUUCUUUGUGAAUUUGGGCAAUCGAACUUUGAGAAAAGGAAAUAGUUUUGCUUUGCUGCCGAAAAUAUUCUCAAGCAUCAUGCCCUUUUCAAUUAAAUGAGUUCUACUAAUAUUCUAGUAGUAGUAGAGAAAAGGAAAUAGUUUUACUUUAUUUCCAAAAGUGUCAUGAAACCAUGGAACUUUGGGUUUCUGUAAUCAUCACAUGUGUUACACUUUUGAUUAAAUAUGUUGUCAAGCAUCCAGCUAGCUAACAUAAGAGAACCUCUUCCUUAGGUGUAUCGUGGGGUCCACCCCACUUAUAACUUCCAUGCUUAGCAAGCAUUCUUAUCCCAAAAUGUGACACUACCGUAUCAUUCACACAUAUUAGUUAUACUUUAUUUUUGCUGUCAUGGUCCCACGUGGACAAAACAAUUCAUACACUUAUCCACUUAAAUCAAUAAUUAACCAAUUACCCACAUAAUUAAGAAUUAUCCCAAAUUACUUAAAAUGCUACUCACUUUUAACAUACCUCAUACACCUUACUAUCAUAGUCAUGUGGUACCUUGUAUGACACUAGUCCAUAAAUGUCGGGUAUUAUAGUUCGGACCGUAUUUUAUCCCAAAUUGACAACAUUCAACGAAACUCAUUUUCUUCGAUUCGUUUACCCUCUCACCUUCACGAAUUUAGUAAUCACUUGUUUGAAAUAGCAUAAUACUUAUAACCUCAAAAUAACCUUGUUCUUGAACUGAUGUCAAUUUAUGACAAAUCCAAUGUACAAUACUACGGGGUGCAACAUAGUUGUAAUAUUACGGAGUGUAACAUCAUUCCCCCCUUUUGGAACAUUCGUCCUCGAAUGUUGACUGAUGCACUUAUCGGUCUCAUAAUCGGAUAGCUUUUACGAAUGGUUUUAAUACUGUCCUUGUCAUUUAGGCAACUGUUCUAUGAAUAAAUCCAAUGUCCAGGGCAUUCCCACCUUUAGACCUCUUUCUCACCCCACGGCUUGUGGUCGGAAUUCUUCCAAUCUCGUAACUCUUGCUACUUUCUGUCAUGUAGCUUGUACUACUUCUUCCUUGUAUGUGCGCCUAUUCGAUUCUUCCUCUAGCUUUUAGCCAAUCUCUAGGCCUCACUUUGUGAACAUAUACAGAAUUUUGACAAGCUGUCCCUCUGGGUGUCUAUGGCUUUACUACAUCUAAGUAGAUCAUACUAUACCAUAACUCUUACUUCGAUUUACUGUGAGGUCUGCUACCAAACUCCAUGUUACUCUCGUUGCUUAUCCUAUAUGUAUAAAUCUAAGUCCUUUAAUCCUUUCUCAUUACUGUUCAUCUUAAGAAUGAUGGGCUAAUCUCAUUUCGUACUUUGUAACUUUUAUCCAUCCAUUGUUGAUUUACCUCAAUGUUGAUCUACAAUUUACCACUGAAAACUUUAGACUUCUUACGUAAUACAUUGCCAUUAGGGCUUACGUCUUAUCGGGGGAUAUCUGAAGUGGCUUGCCUAAUCCACCUAGGGGCGAUACUAUGCUUCAAUAACCGUUUUUUUUUUCAUAGCAUUCCAACGUGAUUCAUCUUAUGGGGGGUACUCUAAUCCCGUGCCGUCCAUGAAUUCCUUUUUUUUCCUUCAAAUCAUUACUCAAUCGAAGGCCCAAACGUCAUCCUUUAUCUAUUACAAUUACACCCUUAUUCUACUACAAGGGUUGCAUUUCAUCUCUUCUAAUUGCUCAUAUUCUUAGACUCCUAUGAGUUCGUUCAGACUGUACCGAGCUUUCUAUAACUUAGGGAAACCAUCAGCUCUCUUGUUUUGAUAGUCUUAAUCUCGAGGCCUUACCUGUUCUCGUCACCUUCUCACUCAUAUUUUCAUAACCUUACUCUUGGCUACCUAAACCUUGUCGCUCUAUCAUACCUUAGCUUGCGACUUAUACAUAUAUAUAUUUAUACUACUCGCAAUCUUUUUUUAAAUUGCUAGCACCAUAGAUUUCCUUUCGUGCCUUCUCAGUUGUCUUUAAAUGUAAGCAAUGACUUUUCCUGGUCGUUCUGCCACUUGUUGCAUGAAUACUUGGUUCAUCUUAGUGCCCACAUAUGUAGGAAUUCCAUGCAACCCAUAUGAUCUUGAAUAUCACCUUUUGAUUUUUUUCUUCUUCCCGUUCAUUAGCCACGAUAGGUGCCACUUUCUUAUUGAGUGCAUACAAUGUUGUAGUGGGACUGUUGUUACAAAACCAUUUCUUCUUUAUGUUACUAUGCUUAGGUUGAAGCUUUCUUCCUUAUUUUCUCAGCUAGUCUUUCGGGGUAGUAUAUAGUGGAGACACUCUGACUCUUGUAAAGCUACAAGCUUAUUACAUCGCAUACCCGAAGGAAUCUUUGAUAUUCUUACUCGCCUAUAAUUAUCCUUAGUUGCAUACCUUCGCGCCUUUGUGCUCGUAGGGUUGCUUCUGAACUGAAAUUUUGAAUGUCUCCCCAGUGGUACUCUCUUUUAUUUCCGAAACAAUUAUACAUUACCUUUAACUACCCAACUCCAAUCUGAAAUUCUUUUCAACAAUUGCGAUAUCGUAUCUGCGAGACUGGAUUCCCUAUGUUGGGGUUCACUAUGUAUAUCUUGCACAAUCUGUUGAUUUAUUUGUAUCCUCUUGUCUAGCCAUAACUAGACUCUUCCUGAAUCCACUACAGACUACUCGUUGGUCCAUUCUCAUAUCUAUAUUCUGCGUAACCCCUUUUGGGUUAUGUCAUUUGCCUUAACUUACCUCUCGUACUGACUCCUUAUGUAUCGAGUGCUCAUUCCCACUUAUUUAUCAGUAUUAUCUGGUGCGGAACCCUUACUGCCUCUCCCCGGUGUCAUGCUUGCAUAAUGUUCUGGAGUCGUAUCAUAUCUGUAGGAUCUGAAUAAAUGCAAUCUCAUUCCUUUCACCUUUUUACCGUAUUCUUUAUUUACUAUUCCAUAGUUACUUCUUCAUUUUUGGCUUCUUUUUAUAUAUUUACUGACAUCUUACCCGCCUUGCAGUAACCCUUCUGUACCAAGGAUAACUAAAGUUCUUAGGCACGAGGGUGACACUUAGUGUAACUGGCACACUUAGUCCCUUAAGCUUAACUCUGCUCACCGUGCAUGCUUUAGAGAAACGUCUUCCUGAAUGAACUUUAAAGGUUAUUUUUCUGUUGUCCAUUCUAUUAUCGCUGGAACGUGAUCUCUAAAAUUCUCACGAUACCGACUAUUAUAACAUCCUUCGGUCCCUUAUUCAUGUUCAAUUUAUCUUGUUCACCAGCCCAUACUGAUUUCUAUUACUCUGGGGGUCUAACUUUUCCUUCUGGUAAUCAUGUUGGAGUCACCAACUCGUUUCUCGAAAUGGGGAUAUGACUUUAUGGCGUAUACUCUUUUAUUGUUUUAAGGCAUGUUUCUUCUUGUCUUUUCUUUCACUUGACUAUAAGUCUAUCAUCGUGUCAUAUUUUGAUUUACCGUACAUCUUACCCGCCUUGCAGUAACCCUUCUGUACCAAGGAUAACUAAAGUUCUUAGGCACGAGGGUGACACUUAGUGUAACUGGCACACUUAGUCCCUUAAGCUUAACUCUGCUCACUGUGCAUGCUUUAGAGAAACGUCUUCCUGAAUGAACUUUAAAGGUUAUUUUUCUGUUGUCCAUUCUAUUAUCGCUGGAGCGUGAUCUCUAAAAUUCUCACGAUGCCGACUAUUAUAACAUCCUUCGGUCCCUUAUUCAUGUUCAGUUUAUCUUGUUCACCAGCCCAUACUGAUUUCUAUUACUCUGGGGGUCUAACUUUUCCUUCUGGUAAUCACGUUGGAGUCACCAACUCGUUUUUCGAAAUGGGGAUAUGACUUUAUGGCGUAUACUCUUUUAUUGUUUUAAGGCAUGUUUCCUCUUGUCUUUUCCUUCACUUGACUAUAGACUCCAUCAUCGUGUCAUAUUUUGAUUUACCGUUGUCACCCAUAUAUCACAUCUUACUCAUGAUGCUUCAUUUACUCUCUUCUUAUUCUCCAGAUAAUAUUUUUGUCUAUCACUUUAUUAUGAAAACUUCAACAGAACGUUCUUUCACUUUUAGCUCCCCUUGCUUCACCUCACUGGCUCUUCGGAAUGCCUAACAUUCGCCUUUUUUUUUUACUCGGAGUUGGAGUCAUGCUAAGAAAAAUAUUUAUCCCUUCUAGGAUUCCACUGCCUAUCUUGUGAAAUGUCUGAAAAUUGUAGUAUUCAUAUCUAACUGUACUAUUCUAGAGUUCACCAUCUGGGUGUCUCACAAGGAGAUCUAUUACCACAUUUGCACUAUCUUUGGAAAGGUUAGCUAAUGAUAACAAUCCAUCCACCAUUAUUGGGUUACUCUAACCCCAGUUGGAUCCUGAUAUCCCGUCCUUCUCUUAAACCAUAUCUGUUAGCUCCUAUAGGGCAUAACUGAGAUUGGUGUGGCCGAUUGUACAUACAUCUGUUAUUGUUGAAGGUAACUUAAAAGGCUAUAGUAUUACAACUAUGUUACACCCCAUAGUAUUGUACGUUGGAUUUGUCAUAAAUUGACAUCAGUUCAAGAACAAGGUUAUUUUGAGGUUAUAAGUAUUACGCUAUUUCAAACAAGUGAUUACUAAAUUCGUGAAGGUGAAAGGGUAAGCGAAUCGAAGAAAAUGAGUUUCGUUGAAUGUUGUCAAUUUGGGAUAAAAUACGGUCUGAGCUAUAAUUCCCGUCAUUUAUGGACUAGUGUCAUACAAGGUACCACAUGACUAUGAUAGUAAGGUGUAUUAGGUAUGUUAAAAGUGAGUAGCAUUUUAAGUAAUUUGGGAUAAUUCUUAAUUAUGUGAGUAAUUGGUUAAUUAUUGAUUUAAGUGGAUAAGUGUAUGAAUUGUUUUGUCCACGUGGGACCAUGACAACAAAAGUAAAGUAUGACUAAUAUGUGUGGAUGAUACGGUGGUGUCACAUUUUGGGUUAAGAAUGCUUGCUAAGCAUGGAAGUUAUAAGUGGGGUGGACCCCACGAUACACCUAAGGAAGAGGUUCUCUUAUGUUAGCUAGCUGGAUGUUUGACAACAUAUUUAAUCAAAAGUGUAACACAUAUGAUGAUUACAGAAACCCAAAGUUCCACGGUUUCAUUACACUUUUGGAAAUAAAGUAAAACUAUUUCCUUUUCUCUACUACUACUACUAGAAUAUUAGUAGAACUCAUUUAAUUAAAAAGGGCAUGAUGCUUGAGAAUAGUUUCGGCAAUAAAACAAAACUAUUUCCUUUUCUCAUAGUUCGAUUGCUCAAAUUCACGAAGAAGGCAAUUGAACUUCAAGUUUCUUAUAAGUGCGUAACUCAUAUACAUGUUUCCCAGUGAUUAUGAUUGAGGCGUGGAGGAGGUUGUUCAUGGAUACAAGUAAAAAGUUGGCCUUUAAGGUAUGUAUAACACCAUAUUUCUUGGGAUUAAUAUUAUUUAUGUAUUGGUUAAGUUAUUGGAUGAAGAUUACAAGAUAACACUUGAAAGGGGAAGAGGAGUUGUUAUCUUUUGUUGGGUUGUUGGGUUGUUUUAAGGCUAUAUAUAUAUAUAUAUAUAUAUAUAUAUAUAUAUAUAUAUAUUAUAUGUGUUGUUAUGGCUAAAAUUUCAAGUUGUAUCUACUGCCUAAGGUAUGUAAAUCAUGUUCUUGGUUGUGCUUAAGAUUAAUCAUAUGUUGUUUGAGUUAAAAUCUUCAAGAUAGUAAUUGACAUGGCAUAAGGAAUCAUUUUUUUUUUGUGGGCUGUGUUGAGGCUAUAUAUAUGGUUGGUUGUGGCUGGAAAUUGUUAUAAAUAGUGGGAUUAUGUUGUGGUUGUUGCUGUUAAGCUUNNNNNNNNNNNNNNNNNNNNNNNNNNNNNNNNNNNNNNNNNNNNNNNNNNNNNNNNNNNNNNNNNNNNNNNNNNNNNNNNNNNNNNNNNNNNNNNNNNNNNNNNNNNNNNNNNNNNNNNNNNNNNNNNNNNNNNNNNNNNNNNNNNNNNNNNNNNNNNNNNNNNNNNNNNNNNNNNNNNNNNNNNNNNNNNNNNNNNNNNNNNNNNNNNNNNNNNNNNNNNNNNNNNNNNNNNNNNNNNNNNNNNNNNNNNNNNNNNNNNNNNNNNNNNNNNNNNNNNNNNNNNNNNNNNNNNNNNNNNNNNNNNNNNNNNNNNNNNNNNNNNNNNNNNNNNNNNNNNNNNNNNNNNNNNNNNNNNNNNNNNNNNNNNNNNNNNNNNNNNNNNNNNNNNNNNNNNUAGACGUAAGAUCAUAUUGAGCUUGGUUGACGAUUGGAGAGAAGAUUGCAAAGGUAUGUUAAGGCUAUCCCUUCUUUCUUUUUGGCAUGAUCCAAAUGAUACAAAUGAAAUGAGCAAAAUACGCAACUUUCAUAAACGAUUCUAUUUACAGAAAUACUAAGGGUGUCUAUAUUCUUGAUUCCCCAUGUGUCUUAUUAUUCUAUCAUUUGUUCAUGGGUCUCAGAAAAUACGUAAGUUGAUAAAGUUUAUUUCACGAUAUUAAUCAAAGGCAUAAUGGUGUUAUGACAUUCCGAGAGAUUUUAUUAACGUACUUCUCAUGCAUUCCAUUCCUUUACAUUGACCCAUGACCUGAUGGCGUUAUAUACGCGUAUAUAUGUAUAUUAUAUAUAUAUAUGGGAUAUGGAAAAAGGUUACGGCAUUAUAUACGCACCACCACCUGAUUUGCUGGUAUACGUUGAUGAUUUGCCCACAGUGGCCGAGAUGAUAUGAUGGGAUGCCCUCAGAGGCUUGAUGUUGUCAUGAAUGCAUAUACCUAAGCAUGAUAUGACAUUUAUACGCAUAUGCAUGACAUUGUAAAUAAUAAUGAUUCACAGAGUUAUUCAGGCUUACAUGUUGAGUCUUUUACUCCAUGUUUCUCUCAUGUCUAUUAUUUACUGAUUUUCAUUCCUUACAUACUCGGUAUAUUAUUUGUACUGACGUUCCUUUGCCUAGGGAUGCUGCGUUUCAUGCCCGCAGGUCUCGAUAGACAGGUUGAGAGCCCUCCAAGUAGACUAUCAGCUCAGUGGAAGAUGUUGGUGCGCUCCAUUUGCUCCGUAGUUGUUAUUUGGUCAGUAUGAUUAGGACAUGUAUUGAUUGGUAUGGCAGGGCUCUGUCCUGACCUUUAUGACAAUUAUGUAUUCUUAGAAGCUUAUAGACAGAUGUCGUGUGUACGGAUACUUGUAUGGCCUUGUCGGCCUAUGUUUUGAGUUUAUAAAUGAUCACGUUGGCCUUAUAGGCCCGUAUGUCACGUGUAUAAGUUUUUAUAUCAGGUUGGGUCGUUCUAUGUCGGGUAUUCCCUCAUGUUUACUCUGUUUAUCUCAUGAUGCCCCUUCUGGCCCACUUACAUUAUAGUAUGAUAAGAAUGAUACGUUACGUUGGUACUCGGUUGAUGUAGGCAUCGGGUGCCCGUCGCGGCCCUACGGUUUGGGUCGUGACAGGCAUUAUAGACAUCCAUUUGAUGAAUAUGCCAACCGUCAGCUGCAGCCUGCAGCAAUAGAAACUACAGCUCUAACAGUUUCUAUCUUCACCACUGGGGAGAAGGUUUCAUGAAAAUCAAGCCCUUCCCUUUGAUUGUAACUCUUGGCCACAAGCCUAGCUUUGUACCUUUCUACAGUGCCAUCUGCCUUGUACUUUACUUUGUACAUCCAUUUGCAACCUAUUGACUUCUUCCUUGUUGGCAAUUGCACCAACUCCCAGGUCUUAUUAUCUUCAGGAGCUUGAAUUUCAGCUCUCAUAGCUUCAAUCCAUAACUUGUCUUGGGAAGCUUCAUGAAAGGAUCUUGGUUCAAUUACUGCAGAGAAAGCCUGCAAGUAUGCUUGAUAAGUUGGCUUCAAGUUGGAGUAACAUACUGAAUUGCUAAUGGAAUAAGGUUUUUGCUGUGAGGGAAUGACAUAAUCUGUCAUCCAUAUUGGCACUCUCUUAUCUCUGCUAGAUCUUUUGAGCUCUUGUGGAGGUGGUAAAUUAUCUGUGAUGAAGCAGUUGUGUCAGCACUAUGUGGAGCAACUUCAUGAGUGUCAGGUGGUUGAGUUGAUGCUGCAGGAAGAUGACUCUCAUGUGGCAUGUCUGGAUAUGCUGUGUGUGGAGCACUCAUAUCUGUUGGGGAUAUUUCCUCCUGUGCUAUGUCAAUAUCUGCGAUUGAAUCCACUUCUGCAUCUAGAAGCUGUUUAGGUUGCUCCUGACUUUCAACCUCUAAAAACAUAUGGUUUAUGUGUGGUUGCUCCAUUCUGAAUGGAAAUAUAGUCUCUUUGAAAGUGACAUCUCUGUUAGUAAAAGAAUUGUGCUUGGACAGAUCAUAUAGAAUGUAUCCCUUUGUAACAGAAGAGUAUCCCAUGAAAGUUGCUGCAAUUGCCCUGGCUUCAAAUUUAUCAUGUACAUUCAUCCUCUUGGCAUAACAUAAACACCCCAGUGUCCUCAUAUGGUCAAGAGAAGGCUUCUUCCUGUGAAAUACUUCAAAUGGGCUUUUACUUUCCAAAGCACUAGAAGGUAAUCUAUUGAUGAUAUACACAGCAGUUAGGAUGCAAUGACCCCAAAAUCUUAUUGGAAUUGAACCCUGAAACCUUAAUGCUCUUGCAAUUUCAAGGACAUGUCUGUGUUUUCUCUCAGCAAUGCCAUUUUGCUGAGGUGUAUACACACAUGUUCUUUGAUGAACUAUUCCAAAAGAUUGGAAUAGUGAGUUGCAUUCACCAUUAAAAAACUCUGUCCCAUUGUCAGUUCUUACUAUCUUGAUGCACCUGUCAAACUGUGUUUUUACAAGCUGAAUAAAAUUUCUCAGAAUCACAACCACAUCACUUUUUAACUUCAGCAAAUACACCCAACAUAUCCGGGAAUGAUCAUCUACAAUAGUAACAAAGAGUUUAUUGUCAUCAUAUGUUUGUACACUAUAUGGUCCCCAUACAUCAAUAUGUAUCAAAUAAAAAUUGCUUCUGCUCUACUAGUACUAGAGCUAAAUGGCAGCCUAGCAUGCCUAGCUAAUGGACAUAUAGAACAAUCCUCUAAUUCUUUCUUACAAUCAUCAUAUCCUAAUGAAAAAGUUUGUUUUAUUGCUCCUGCUGAGGCAUGUCCAAGCCUUUUGUGCCACAAUCUUACAUCCAAUUUUUCUAUUCUACUAGACAAACCAGUUGUUUUAUUCUUCUCUUUCUCCAGUAGUUUGAGGUAGUAUGUAGAGGCCAUCAUCCUCCCUACUAAUCGCUCUCACCUCCCCAUUGCAGAGGCCCUGGAACACAAAGAAAUCGGGGAAGAAGCAAACUGAGCAAUUCAAUGCUCUUGUGAUUUUUGCUACAAAUAACAAAUUGUACUUAAAGUCAGGAAUGUAUAGAAUAUUAUCUAUUGUUCCUGCUUGUCCCAAUCUGCAUGAUCCUAUGUGUUACCUGUGCAACCUCUCCAUUAGGUAAAUGAACCUUCCUGGUCUUAUUUCUAUUUACUUCUUGUUUCUUAUCCAGCAUGUUUAUAUCUGAGACCAUAUGAUUUGUUGCACCAUUGUCAACUAUCCAAACCUUUUCUUUGAUAUCUGCUAAAAAGGCAUUAAUACUACCUGCACUAUCUGCCAUGUUUGCUGAUGUUUCAGGUAGAGUUUCCUUGUUGAGCAGCUUCAGGAUCUGAUUGUACUGUUAUGAGGCAAAGUGUGGUGCAAUGUACUGUUUUGGUGUAUUAGCAGCUAUGUUCUUGUCUGCUCCAGUCUCCUGUGGUUUAUGUUCCUCAACGAUGGCAUUGUUUGCCAUGUUACCCCCAAACCUCUUCUUAUAUUUGAAGUUAGCCGGAUAACCAAUCAACUUGAACUUCCUUCACGAGUGUGCCCCUUCAUCUUACAGUAGUCACAUGUGACAUUAUAAUUCUUUUUGAACCUCUGAGUGUUGACAUUUCCUCCAUUGCCACCUCUUGUGGUCAUUAAUGCUGUGACUUCCAAGUUUUCAGUGGCAACAGAAAUAUAAGACAUAGUCCUCUGACUUUCCUUGUCAAUUAGAAUAGAAUAGGCCUUGUUAACCGAAGGAAUUGGGUCCAUCAUCAAAAUCUGGCCCCUUGCAUGUUCAUAUGUUUCAUUUAAUCCCAUCAGAAAUUGCAGAUGUUUUUGUUGCCUCAUGAAUGCAACAAAAUCCCUAGACUUCUCACAAUCACUCAGGAGUUGGAGCUAAGCUGUCAAACUCCGUCCAAAGUGAUCGAAAUUUUGAGUAGUAGGUCACAAUAGCGUUGGUUUCCUGACUCACGGUAGCAAUCUCCUUGUGCAACCGGAAAAUGCGAGAACCAUCAACCUUGUCAAACCUUUCCUUCAGAUCCUUCCAGACCACAUAUGCAUUGGAGGAAUACACAAUUCCACUGAGUAACUCCGGUGAUACGCAAUUCAUAAUCCACGAAAACACAAUUGCGUUGCACCUCCCCCACAGAUCAACCAAAUUUGGACCGUAAUUUUCUCGCUUGCAACUGCCAUUGAUGAACCCUAGCUUGUUACGCCCUAGGAUCGCAAUUCGCAUCGCUCUACUCCAGACGGAAUAGUUCUCUGUUCCAGUCAAUUGCAAGGAUAUCAACACAGUUCCAGAAUUGUCCGUCGAUUGCAAAAAAAAGUGGGUGAUUAUGGCUCAAUUUUUCCGGCAACUCAUUAUCGAUGUUGUCCGCCAUUAAUGAGUUUCGAUGAAGUACGUUUUCAGUAAUUCAAUUUCUCAGAGAGACCAUAUAAAUGGCCGUAUGCUCUAAUACCAUGUCAAAGUUUAAGCAGAAGAGAUGAAUUGAGAGUUCAACAAAUGGAGGAUCGAAUGUUCUAGAGAGAGUCGGUGGAGAGAAUUUUCACUUUCUUAUUUUCAUCUUAUCUGUCUGUACACAAUACAAUGCUUAUAUAGAAGAUGACUACUACUCACUAACUAACAAUUACAUAGCUAAGCUCAACAUAAUUAACUAUAUUGUCAACCCACUAACCGUCUAACUAACCAAUCCAAUUGACAGCUAACUGCCAGCUAACUACCUCACACAAGUUGCACGUGUUAUGUGACACUUCCACUCUCAAUAGCAAGCCAAUAAGAUUCUGUGACAAUUUAUAUCACUUUGGCAUCGGUCACGGUGUUGUUUGAUGAAUUAACGAUCUUCAAUUAGAGAACGCCAUGAUUUGCAAACAAGUUUGAACUUUCCAGGUGAUUUGACAGGAAGCUUUAGCAGUAUAUCGACGACGAUAUCAUCGGGAAAGUUAUUCAUUCUAACAGCUAAAAGAUUUUGGGUUUGAGCUUCUGUUUGUUUUGUUCGACAGAAUUAAUGUCCUAAAUAUAGGGUUUAAUAUAAGUGAAGCAAGAAAACUAUUAACGCUGCCUUUUUUUCCUUUUUUUGGUGGAAGAAGGAUUCUCAACAUCUAACCUUUUUAAUUCGUUUACCCAACUUUGUCAUGUCGCAUGUUUUUGCUUUUUCCUAGCUAGUGGGAGUAGGAUUUCAAUUUUACCUUCCUUUUCUUGUUUUAUUGGAUUGAACCAAUAUUUCUUCCGUCACACCUGAAACAUUUGCUGAUUUUCUUUCACAGCCUUAUCAAUUUGCUUAAAUAGUUUCCACCAAUUCCAACAUAUUAACCAAGUUCCUUACUUCCUCAUGUAAGUAUAUCUACUGUGAGUAUAAUUCUAAAAUACUAACAAAUGAAGAAUUAAGAAAAAAUUGCACUUGUAUCUUAAAUAAGGUUGAGAGUAGCAUGGUUCAAUAUUCAAUAGAAGAACGAAAUAUAUCAAUCGCACAUGACAUAAAUAAUAUAUGACAAUUUAUUCAAACUUCCUCGAAACAAAGGUGAUUUCUAUAGCAGGCAAGGAAACGCGAAGAUUGACUUACAAAAUUAUGUGUUAAUAUUAUGCAGAAAGUUCUAGAAAAUUCAAUCAAUACUGCAUCACAAUUCCAAAUUAGUUGAGAUCCAUUAUAUAAUUUUGUCUUUAUUCCAUUUUAUUCAAACCACAUCAACAUAAAUGACAUUGAUAAUAAAGGUGGAAAAAUGCAAAACCAGCGGACAAAUUUGAGGAGAGCAUGAGAAAGUAUUAGGAUAUCUUUCCACUGUAAUCUUUGUACAGGCUUUAAUGCAUGAAAUAAAUGGCGAGUUCUGCUUUUUUCUAAGAAUAUUAAUCUACAUUUUAGUUGCUAUGUUAGAAAAACAAAGAAUACAACAUUUAUAUAGGAGUAGUUAGGGGCUCGGAUUAAAUCGAAAAUCCAAACCGAACAAAACGGAAUUUUAAUUUGGAUUGUUUUGCGAUGCUAAUGCUCCAAUUUCCUACCAUGGCAGGUGAUGAUCUACUCUUCUUCUUCACUGAUGGCUUACAAAAUUGGGCAAAACAAGAGCUCUAACGCCAUAAGGCCAAGGACAUCGAUGAAACCAUCGUAGGGGCUGAGUCUUUGACUGAAUAUAAGGCCAAGGGGCAUAAGGGAAGAGAUCACAACGGUAAAGCUAUCAAAGGUGAGAUAUCCUAGAGAAGGGUUAUUUAUGUACAAACAGGAUUUGCUUUAUAGUGUAUCUCAACAAGAAUUUAUUACACUGCAAUAAUCUUUUAGAUGGCUUCUAUCUAUUUUACAACAGCGGAAUUACCAGGAGCACUUUAAAUUAUAGUGAGGUUCUAUAAUUGUAAUUCAGAAACAAAGACUAGCACAACAAUGUGAGACAUGGAAUCUACCUACCUAGUAGAAUUGGAUGGUGCCAUGGACAAAGCUCGACUGGACCGCACUUUAGAUAAAUGAAGCUCAGGCUGCAUUUCUUCUCAACAACCUUAGCAACAAAAUCCUUCUCCAGCCAAGUGUCCCGAGUCUUCACGUUUUAUUAUCAACAAUCUCCGGAAGGCUCUUCAGUGCCUUUGGUGGAAAAAGAGAUUUAUACCAACGAAGAGAGAAAGAAAGAAAAGAUUAUGAAAUGAUGAUUAAACCAUGAUUUUUACUGCUGACCUGAUACAAGUACCAGGAAACAAAGGCAUCCGUAGCAGCAUAAUAUAGUUUUUCCUUAGAUAACUCAUUUGCCUCCCAAUUUCCCAGCCUGAUCUUACUUGGCUUGGGGAGCUGCAAGAACAAGAAAAUCUCCGUUGAAUCUCACACUUAAUUGCAAGAAAAGAAAGAAUUCUAAUUGAAGGAAACAAAACUAGAAAGAUUUACAGGGAGUAGCAGCAUAUCAUAAUUACUCCUAAUAUAGUAAGUCAAUUGUCUUUCCAGCAAGACUUUACACUCAAAAUAUGCACAUACGUCCAGCUGAUGAGGUAGCAUUUCUACUUGGUUUCUUCUCUAAACAGUUGCAAAGGUUGAAGUUCUCUGCGUAUACUUUAACAAGUCAACUAAGUAAAACUCAGUCUAUCGAUACAAAACAGGCUCAGCAGCCCUACAAAACUGGAAUAAAGCAAGAAACCAAUCCCCAAUUCCCCCUCUUCCCUCCCAACCCCCCAGCAGUUCAAGGAUCUUAAAUGGCGGCAACGAAAAACACAAAAUAAAGUAAAAUAGUAAUAGAUAUGAUUGAAACAGAAACCAAAAGAAAACCUGCUUGGCAAGAAGCUUCUCAGUUAGUGAUGCUAGACUCCAUUUCUUGGGCUCUUCAUCAAACUUUUUGUUGGCGAGUUCAGAAAGAUCUUCCAAAGUCUUUACAGAUACAUUGUGAUCUAGGGAAACUUUGUAAGCAUCAUGUGCAAUGCACACACCCACCUAUUGAUUAAUUGGAACACUAACAAGUUAAGAAACCAUAUCCUAUUAUUGUUUGAUAAAUGUUCCUGAAAAAUGAACAAGCGUCAACCUUCAGAAUUGUUGGGUCCUCAAGAAGAGAUUGCAGAGUUUGAGGGAUUCCGGAGUGAAUAAUAUGCAGAACGUAACAACUACUCAUGUCGCCACAUAUCUGCAUAACAGCAGCCUUCCCAGGUGCCACACCUGAAGAAAGCACCUAUUAUUAUGUAAUGAGCGAUACUAGGGUGCAAUUUCACAAAUAAGGACAGUGAAAUGAAGUACAAAAUCCAAUUAAUUAAGUACGUGACAACCGAAACAAAAGGUCAUGAGGAGUUAUAUGUGCCUUCUUAUACUAAAGAGUAUGCUUAAGUAACAAAAGUAUGACACACAAGAAGUGAUGCCAAAUAGGGAAUAAAUGAUGCAAAGAUCACCUAUAAGAACGGUAUUUAGCGUCCACUAAUUAUUCUUUUUGAGCAUAAAAAAGAAUAAUCUCUCAAUCAAAUAUUUUGGCAAAAAUAAAUAUAGAGAAAAUAAGUCUUCCUAAUCACCAUGAGCUACAUAGGAUUCUUGGUAGAUAUCCUAGUUAAGAUGCAGACGUAAUCACUAAGGUCCAAUGAAUUGUCUGUUUUCUAAAAGCACCUUUGUCAUCAGCACUGGAAACCAAGAAUCUUAGCUAUCAAAUUCUAUACACUCUCAUUCCUCCAAGCAGACGACAAUUGAUAAAGUGACAUGGAUAUUGAAGAUUCAUAUAUCCAGCUCCGACUAGCUUUGGUUGAAGCAUAGUAGUUAUCGUUGUCGUUGUAGACAACAGCAGAUCAAGUAAAUUUCCUUAAAAUCACGUGAUGAACUAUCAAAAUUCAUCAAGUGUCAUAACAAACUAGCAGUCAAAAAAUGACACAUUCCAUUUAACACCGCAGGGAUGGUACUUCAGAAAAAAAUUCACAAGUUAUAACUUACACAUGACAGUCAAAAAAUGACACAUUCCAUUUAACACCGCCUCAAAUGAAGCUUAGUAUAAAUAAAUUUAAAAGCUAGUACACUGAAAGACUGAUAGAACUCAAGAAUUCCCAUCGUAGUUUGCAAAGUUCAUAUAAAAGUCAAACUAUUAACAUUGAACUGACCUUUUCUAAAACUGGGCUUCCACUCAAUGUCAAAUCCAAGAGCAACAUGCCCUUCUUUCCUCUUCUUUUCCUCGACAAAAUUUAAAAGCUCUACUGCAGAUUUCUCCACUUCUUUAGUAGUUCUGCUAUAUAUAACAUGUCCUUUAAAUGAUAUUUCCGGGUAUUGCAUCACUAUCUUAGCUGCUACAUCACAAACAAAAAAUAAAACGAAACUUGGACAUUAAAUCCUUAUUUAAAAUUUAACAACCAUCUUUAAUACACAACAGUAACAACCGUUAUUAAUUUCCCCCAAAUUUAAUAGAAUUUCACCAUGAGAUCUUCAUAAGAUAGGUAAACUUUGGAGCAAUAACCGUAUGCCAAACUGAUUACAAUGUGCUACAAUAGGAAUAACAUUAGUUCGAUAUAAAUCAUCCCAUUAAGGGUUAAAUAGAUUUUUCUAAAGUUUAAACUAUUUCUAUAUAUAGAAAUAUGUCAUUCUUUAUUAAACAUGCUAAAAAUGAAGAGUGUAUAUUCACCGUCAUUGUAAGAAAUUUUGUUACACUGUAUCAGGUCACCCAAAAGAUAUCUACAAAUCCGACAUCUAACAAUUACAGUGUAUAUCAUAUUACAUUCUACUAAAUUUAUACUAACUCAAAUUAGAACAUGAUUUUUUUUUAUUUGCAACCAAAAAUCAUUACUCCAGAAAAACAUUUAACUACAAUGAAAGGGAAUAAAAAAAAGAGAGAGAAAAGCCGUUACCUUGAGUAGAAGAACGAAAGGAAUAACUACACUGAGACCGACUUCUAGUGCAAGAAGACAAAGACGACAUUGAAUUAGUAGCUUCAUUUUGGAAGUUAAAAACAAAAAGCGAUUCCGGCAAUCUCCGGCGACUUUUCCGGCGAUAUUCGUCGCCAUCGCCGGCGGAAGAUGAGUCUUCGGAAUUCUGAAGCCUUUUAGUAGCUGAUUGAAAUGCAACUUCGAUUUCCUGGAGUUCUUCUUCUGUAAAAGGUCGAUCCCAAUCGUUUGAUUCGCUAGAAAUUGGGGUUUCCAUUUUAUAUAUUUAUUGCUAAAAAGAGUACAGAAGAAUUUUCUUUUCAGCUAAAUAGCGGGCAUGUUUGAGCUUUUGAUUUUUAUAUUUCUUAUAAUUACAUUAUCCUCCCUUGUUGUUUUGUUAUGGUUUGACAGACCACCCAAUAUAACUUUAAAAUUACACUUUCCACCCUAUACUCUAGUGUUAAGAAUUUCAAUUUUUUCUUGGGUAUUAGAAUGAGAUAGAUCAAAAUUGAACAAAAUUGGAUGUUAAAGAUUCAUAUAAUCGAGCUUAAUUAGAUUGGGAUUUGCUGUAGUUAUUAUUGUGCACUUACUCUACCUUUGUAUUUUAAAGAAUGAACAUCGAUUUUCACUUACUCGUAAUGUAACUGGAAUUUCCAGCUCAUAAGUUGGACAUUGGAUUCUAUCAAUUAUGAAAGUACUUUCGAAAUUAUAAACACACCGAAAUUGUAGGUAAAGAAUACAAUUGACAAAAGAUUUGCAAUUGACAAUAGAAAGAAAUACAAACAACAUUACAAGUAUAACUCAGUACUAUAAAAAUAAAAAAGUUCACUAUAUACAUAAUCAAUAUUUUGUACCAUAAAUGUUUGAGGCAAAUUUUGACACAUUAGACAAUAUAACCUUCUUCCCUGAAUAGAAAAAACCUAUUCUAACUCUUACAACAACAAUAAUAAUUAUAUUAUAUUUUUCAAUUCUCUGCAAGUUGCGGUCGACUAUAUAAAUCUUCACUAAUCAUCUGCUCCAUUCAAGUUCAUGAUCUCAUACCAAUAUUAUAGUACAAAAUAUAUAUUUAUUAUUGUAUGUCAAAGUAUAUAUGACAUACCUCUUACAUUUGAGACAACAAACAAUUGUUGAAUCACACACAUUAAAUUUUCAAGAAAAAUCACUUAAUGUGGGGUACUAGCUGCAACAAUUUUAAGAAUAUCUAAAGGGAUAUUAAUAAAUUUAACUAAAGCAUUACGUGCAUUAGCAACCUCUGCAAUAUGAUUAUCAGCAUAAUCUUCAACAUCAACAGAAUUAGCAGUUCUCAUUGCCUUAAGACGAGGAUAACAAACUUCAAAAUCUGUUAUGGCAGUUGUAUAGUAUUUAAUCGCAUCGUUAAACGCGCCAUUAACAGUAGAAUCAACAGCGUCAUUAAUU